rnacentral:rRNA from 1 species
GACGAACGCUGGCGGCGUGCUUAACACAUGCAAGUCGAACGCUGAAAGCUCAGCUUUUGUUGGGGUGGAUGAGUGGCGAACGGGUGAGUAACACGUGAGUAACCUGCCCCCUUCUUUGGGAUAACGCCCGGAAACGGGUGCUAAUACAGGAUAUUCACUUGCCUUCGCAUGGGGGUUGGUGGAAAGGGUUUUUUCUGGUGGGGGAUGGGCUCGCGGCCUAUCAGCUUGUUGGUGGGGUGAUGGCCUACCAAGGCUUUGACGGGUAGCCGGCCUGAGAGGGUGACCGGUCACAUUGGGACUGAGAUACGGCCCAGACUCCUACGGGAGGCAGCAGUGGGGAAUAUUGCACAAUGGGCGAAAGCCUGAUGCAGCGACGCCGCGUGAGGGAUGGAGGCCUUCGGGUUGUAAACCUCUUUCGCUCAUGGUCAAGCCGCAGCUUUGGGUUGUGGUGAGGGUAGUGGGUAAAGAAGCGCCGGCUAACUACGUGCCAGCAGCCGCGGUAAUACGUAGGGCGCGAGCGUUGUCCGGAAUUAUUGGGCGUAAAGGGCUUGUAGGCGGUUGGUCGCGUCUGCCGUGAAAUCCUCUGGCUUAACUGGGGGCGUGCGGUGGGUACGGGCUGACUUGAAUGCGGUAGGGGAGACUGGAACUCCUGGUGUAGCGGUGGAAUGCGCAGAUAUCAGGAAGAACACCGGUGGCGAAGGCGGGUCUCUGGGCCGUUACUGACGCUGAGGAGCGAAAGCGUGGGGAGCGAACAGG